AACAGAAAGCAUACUUGAAAAAGAAAUUAAAUUACAAGAGCUUUCACUAUUCCCACUAUUGGACUGCUGCAUUUGCGACUCAUAAGGCAUGAUUCUGCUGUGCUGUUGUAAUAGACUCCAGGUCUUGGAUGGAUGCAUUUCGGAAAAGAUUAACCCUGUCUUUUGAUUUUGAUAAAAUCCUGGAUUUUUUUUUUUCUUUUUUCUGGCUUCUACCUGUCCUCAAAGGCAUAGAUUCAGGCAAAACUAUAUCCAAGAAAGAAAAACAUGGGAGAAAUGAAGAGGAGUGUCUGACUGAUUUGGCAAGAAGGCAUUUAGCUGGGACAUGUCCUUGCUGAGUUCAUCCAGAUGAGAACUGACAUGGAUCGGUACUAAACACUGAAAGGCUUCCCCAGUGUCACCUUUACAGACAGUGCAACUGGCCAUGAGAGCUCCACAUGAUGACUCUGAGGCUAGAAAGGACACUUCACUCUCAGCACAGCAAGCACCAUAUGGAUAUUUGCAAAGGGAUGAAAUGGAUGCUGUUGACUGGCCUCGCUUUUCACAUACCUUAAAUUGCUUGUCUCUGUUUGUGAUGGAUGUGGCAUCGCUUUCAUCUCCUGAUCACAGUGUUGCUUCACCUCUGAACCAGCAAUCUGGCCCUGGGACUCUCAACCAGGCUUCAUCUAGGCUGCCCCAAUCUGAUAAAUGCAGUGAUGGUGAUGCUGAGUGAUGCCAGUAUGAGACACAAGAGCAUUGCCCCUGCUCAGCCUCUCUACCAGCAGCAAAGUUUCUGGAAAACCUCGUGAAGCAAGCAAGGCAACU